UGAUCAGAGUGUCUGAAUCAUCUUUUCUGGAUCCCUUAGACAUAGGCUGUAUACCUUCAGGGGUCAGUGGACCACAGGUUGAAAACCACUGACCUA